rnacentral:lncRNA from 1 species
AGGGGUGGGCAAAACCGGGUUCGGGUCGGGUUCGGAUCAACCCGAUCGGAUUUCGGGUUGGUCGGGUUUAACAAAAAUUAAUCCGAAUACAACCCGAACUUCCCACCCGACCCGAUCCGAUCCGAUUUAUAUUCGGAUCGGGUCGGGUCGGGUUGUGAAUUCAGGUUGAAAUCGGGUAGGAUCGGGUUGGCCAAUUUCCUUGAUUUUGUUACAACCAUUUAAAAACACAUAAUUACAACAAUUAAAUACUAAAUAUUAAUUGUUUAAUUUAACCAUAUACACCAUCAAUUCAAAUCUUAAAAUAAAAAGCUUAAAAAAAGCGUGAAAACUCAAGAUUCAAAGUCAAAGGUGAGAAGCUCGGGUUGAAGGAUUGGAGCAGCAGAAGCACCUUGCAGCAGAUCCGCGGCACUUGCAGUAGAUCGGUGGCCGCGGCACUUGUAGUAGGAGACCGACGGACGCGUAGCAGCAGAUCGGCGGCACUUGCAGCAAAUCAGGCAUGGAGACGCGCGGCAAAUCGGCCAUGGAGAUGCAGGUGAGGCUGUGACUUGUGCGGCGGCCUCCGUUGGCGGCUUGGCGUUGGCCCAACGCCGUUGGGGGUGACUAUGUAUGUGUUUUGUGUAGUGAGAUUGGGGAUUGUGUAAUGAGAUUGGGGAUUGAGGAGAGUUGUGAGUGUUUGUGUAAAGUAACCGUGUAUUGUGAAAAUGGGAAUUGUGAUUUGUGUGUGCGGCGUGUGUGUGGCUGUUUGCUUUAGGUUUAGUUUUUUUUUUUUUUUUUU